AUUUGUGAGUGAAUAUUGACAAGUUGUUGUUUCUGCUUAAAGUCUUAUUUGCUAUUUUAAGUUAUUGUUUCUUAUAGAUUUUCUAAUCUGUGCUUAUUUUACUAGGAGUCAUGGCUUUGAAAGAAUUACCUUAUUGAUUUCAAACACCAUUUUAUGAGUAAUUUUCCAUAUGCCUUAAAAGAAAUAACCAAGCAAAAAAGGAAAGAGACAAAUAAAAGACAUCAAGAUUAUGGAAAAGCUGCAAAAAAGGACCCUUCAAUCAGACUCAUUAAUUGUUAAUAUUCAGCCAUUUGAGAGUUAGACAUCAUAACUUUCAGCCCAAUUUGUCAACACAUCUCUCCUAAAACAGGACCAUUCUUCCACAAACCUCAUUAUAAUUAUCAUAAGAAAAUUUGACAUUAAUACAAUGCUUUUAUCUAGGUAUAACCCAUAUUCAUAUUUCUAAAGUUGCCCCAAUAAAAUCUUUCAUAGUUAUUCAUACUCUUUCCAGUUGCUUAGAAACAGUCAUGCAUUAUAUUUAGUUAUGAUAUCUCUUUAUUGUCCUCUAAUCUAAAACAAUUCCUAGCUUUUUUUUCUUUCACUAUAUUAACAUUUUUAAAGAGAUUGGAUCAUUGUUUUGCACACUAUUACUAAAAUGAGUACUUUUGCAUGAUUAGAUUCAGGUAAAGAACAUUUUUGGCAGGACAACAGAUGUGAUGUUAUAUCUUUCACAGAGUAUCGUAUCAGGAAAUGGAUGAAAUAAAUAUAUCCUAAUUGGAAAAUUAAGUUUGAUACCUUGGUUAAGGUGGUAUCUGUCAGAUUUCUUCAUUGUGUAGGUACUUUUGUCUUUUGUGAUUAGUAAAUACUCUGUGGAGUAAUAUUGUGAGAGUGUAUAAAUAUUUGUUUUGCAGCGAUUCUUCAAUGGUUUUGGUAUCCAUUAAAACAUAUUGCUUGAAUCAAUCAUUACUUUUGUCUCAGCAAAAUGGUGUUUUACCAAUUUUAUUGUCUUUUC
rnacentral:lncRNA from 1 species